GUGCAAGAGCACCUAGUGAGUGGAGAAGCCCACCAAUUUAGCUUAGGGUUUACACAUUUUAAUUCAUUCAUCACUUUCCUCUCAAGAACCCUAAGGAAGCCACCAUUGGAGAAAAGCUUGACUAGUAGCUUUGACUUCAUUUUUGGUGCCCUUUCACUCACCCUAGAACUUUGAACUUGGAAUACUUUUUGUUCCCCUCAUCUUCCUCUUCAAAACCCUUGAAGGAUCUAGCCUAACUCCUAGUUUUGCUUUGGUGUCUAGAGGUUCAAUUUUCUAGUGAGUUGAAGGUAGCAAGCUGAAAAAUCUGUUUUGCGGACCGAAAAUUUGGGGCAAUUCAUUUCGGUGGUAAUUGGGAUUUUCAUUCCAAUUGAGGCAGGGGAUAUUUUAGGAUUAUUUGUGUAUUGUAUUGUGUGUUUGCCAUGAUUAUACAACAUAUAUGUAUGCCUUGUAUCAAAUCUAAAAAGUUAGUAAUUUUUAUUUCUUUGUAUAAGAUUUAAAGUUUAUGAUAAUGUAUAACUUUGAUUUGAAUUGUAACAUGCUAGGAAAUUAUGCUUAGAUGUAUUGGUUAACAUAUAUUACAUUUGGAUCAUUUGAUUAAGAAUUACAACUUUUAUUUAAUAUUUAUCUUUAGUGAAAGUUUAAUUCACAUGGUUGUAUCAAGCAUUAAAUCAAGUUGUAAUGUGGUAUUUAAAUAGGUCUUGGCAUGUUCUCUAACAUAGAUUAAAUUCAGGGCAUUUGGAAUUGUUUAAAAAUCUAGAGGAAAUUAAUUAAUUAGCUUGAUUAAUUUUGUUUUAAGUAUUUUAAUCACUUAACUUGUCAUUUGAUAUUAUAAAUAUAAUGACCAUGACAUGUCUUUCAAUAUAUAUUAAAUUGAGGUUAUUUGGAUUAACUUGGAAUUUAGAGAAUUUAACUAUUUAUGUUUAAUUAAAUUCUACUUUAUUACUCCAUGGAUUUAAUUGCAUUUUGGAAGUUAUUUCUAUAUUUAAAUCAUAGAUUUGGAUUUGAUGUAUGUUCACUUGAUUACUUUUGAGUAUUGGAUAACAUAGUUGUUACUUUUCUAUUCAUGAGAAUAUGUUUUUAUUUAUUGAAUAUAUUGUUGCUAUGUGUAAGGAAUUGCACACUUUGUAUUUGACAUCUUACAUGCAAUUGUAGUUGUGAAUUUUGAGUAUGUAUUGUAUAAGUUUCCAAAAUUUGGAUUGUGCUUGGUAAAUAGUUGAUAUCUUGUAUAUACAUGUUGAUAUAUAUACGUUGUUGCACAAUUUGUUGAUUUUGGAAACUUGGGGAUAUCGUUGUUUGGCUACCGCUAGGACUUGGUUCUAGUACGGGGGAUUGUCCCUCUAUAUAGUCUAGUACGCACAUAGGGAGAUUACCCAUGGGCUAGUAACCCUAAAGUAACUAUGUUGUCGGUCUGAUCCGGCGUGGCGUCCGAAUAUCCAUUUUAUUUGAUUUCGUAUUUCAUUUCAAGUUGAUAACUAGAUGAUAUCGUAACUUGUUGUUCCUUAUUUGAUUUCCUAUUUUGCGCUUAAGAUGUAACUUUGUGAAAGCAUGCUUCAUGCGUUGUAUUGGAAGUUCCAUUGUUAGUUAAAUUACAUCGAUAUCAUAAUUUAUGUUUUGAUGUUCAAAUGUAGUUUAUGAAUGACCUUAUAGAUUCAUUUUGAACAUAGACGUUAGAUGGCAUGACCCACACUUGUUGUUUUCGUAAUUUUGGAUUUUAAGUUGAAGACUUUGAGAAUCUAUAUCUUGUUGCCUUGUAUAACAUGUUUCCAUGUUGUUUGAAUUGCAUGAACAAUGUGAUAUGAUAGAAAUGAUCUAGGUAGCUUAGGAUGCUCCCUGGGUCUCAUCUUGAUAUAGACGUUAGGUGGCAUGAGCCCCUUUAACAUGUUUCAUCAUAAGGUGAUAAAAUUGUAAAAUUUUAGGUCGAUGCAUGCUCAUCUCCUACGAGUAGCUUUAUGUUACUCACCCCUACGAUACUGGGGCAUAUUUCAGGUAUAGGACUCAGGAUUUGAAGAUUCCAUUGCUCCUUGGAUGGCUUACAAUUUCUAUGUUUUUAUUUUAUGCAAGUGUUAGCAUAAGAUGCAUCUUUGUAGCCCUAUUUGUUUAAACUUGUAUUCGUUGAUUCGUAUAUGUAAAGUGUACGUAAGUGCACUCUUUUCAAUGUAUUUAACAUGUAUGAGAUGAGGCCGGAGGUCAAUGACAUGUAUCUCGUUUUCUAUGCA